GAUGAACGCUGACAGAAUGCUUAACACAUGCAAGUCGACUCGAGUCUUCGGACUUGGGUGGCGCACGGGUGAGUAACGCGUAAAGAACUUGCCUCUUAGACCGGGACAACAUCUGGAAACGGAUGCUAAUACCGGAUAUUAUGGUUUUUUCGCAUGGAGGAAUCAUGAAAGCUAGAUGCGCUAAGAGAGAGCUUUGCGUCCCAUUAGCUGGUUGGUGAGGUAACGGCCCACCAAGGCAAUGAUGGGUAGCCGGCCUGAGAGGGUGAACGGCCACAAGGGGACUGAGACACGGCCCUUACUCCUACGGGAGGCAGCAGUGGGGAAUAUUGGACAAUGGACCGCAAGUCUGAUCCAGCAAUUCUGUGUGCACGAUGACGUUUCUCGGAAUGUAAAGUGCUUUCAGUCGGGAAGAAGUCAGUGACGGUACCGACAGAAGAAGCGACGGCUAAAUACGUGCCAGCAGCCGCGGUAAUACGUAUGUCGCAAGCGUUAUCCGGAUUUAUUGGGCGUAAAGCGCGUCUAGGCGGCAAGGAAAGUCUGAUGUGAAAAUGCGGAGCUCAACUCCGUAUGGCGUUGGAAACUGCCUUACUAUAGUACUGGAGAGGUAGGCGGAACUACAAGUGUAGAGGUGAAAUUCUUAGAUAUUUGUAGGAAUGCCGAUGGGGAAGCCAGCCUACUGGACAGAUACUGACGCUAAAGCGCGAAAGCGUGUGUAGCAAACAGGAUUAUAUACCCUAGUAGUCCAGGGCGAAAUCCACAGUGUGAUAUCAAGCUUAUCGUGACUGUCUACCCGAGGUGGGGGAAAGGAAACCCAUCUUAUGUUUCCUUUAUUAGGGUAAUUACAUGUGUCUUCCUCCUAUCCCUCUCCCUGCUCUGGUACUCCCAGUGUUCUUCAUGUAUAUAUAUGUGUCUAUUUUGUGCCUCCUGUCUCUUCCCUGUGCUGUAGAUAUUUAACUUGUUUAGUAAAUAUUAUACUAGUGUCCUUCUGUUUGCUCGUCUGUUGCCCUGUACCU
rnacentral:rRNA from 1 species